UACGUAGGGAGCGAGCGUUGUCCGGAUUCAUUGGGCGUAAAGAGCUCGUAGGCGGCUUGGUAAGUCGGAUGUGAAACCUCCAGGCUCAACCUGGAGUCGCCAUCCGAUACUGCCAUGGCUAGAGUCCGGUAGGGGCCCACGGAAUUCCUGGUGUAGCGGUGAAAUGCGCAGAUAUCAGGAGGAACACCAAUGGCGAAGGCAGCUCGCUGGGACGUGACUGACGCUGAGACGCGAAAGCGUGGGGAGCAAACAGG
rnacentral:rRNA from 1 species